rnacentral:rRNA from 1 species
AGUGAACGCUGGCGGUAGGCCUAACACAUGCAAGUCGAACGGCAGCACAGUAAGAGCUUGCUCUUACGGGUGGCGAGUGGAGGACGGGUGAGGAAUACAGCUGAAUCUACUUUUUCGUGGGGGAUAACGUAGGGAAACUUACGCUAAUACCGCAUACGACCUACGUGUGAAAGCAGGGGAUCUUCGCACCUUGCGCGAUUGAAUGAGCCGAUGUCGGAUUAGCUAGUUGGCGGGGUAAAGGCCCACCAAGGGUACGAUCCGUAGCUGGUCUGGGAGGAUGAUCAGCCACACUGGAUCUGAGACACGGUCCAGACUCCUACGGGAGGCAGCAGUGGGGAAUAUUGGACAAUGGGCGCAAGCCUGAGUCAGCCAUACCGCGUGGGUGAAGAAGGCCUUCGUGUUGUAAAGCCCUUUUGUUGGGAAAGAAAAGCAGCAGGUUAAUACCCCGCUGUUCUGACGGUACCCAAAGAAUGAGCACCGGCUAACUUCGG